CAAUUAGGUAUACAUGUGUAUUUAAAUAAUUAUAUCAAGCAUUUUUCAAUUCGUUAGGACUGUUGUUAUAAUGAGUGAGAAAUCAAUUAAACGGCAUGACAAAUCAUGUUAGAUUUGCCUGAGACUACUAUAACACAGAGAUUGGUCACUUCCCGUACUGACCAGUCAAAUAGUAAUUAAUUGUAAGUCUUCGAUCACGUGACUCGGCACGUGACCCGCAAUGAUUGACAAGAAGGAUUCGACCGCCAUUUUUGACAGCGAAAGAGAAAAUAAUAAUUAACAAAUGUGGAUUUAUAAAGAGUGUUAUGUUCCGGAAUACCCCCAGAAAGAAAUCACGCAUUAGAAGAAGGGAGAAGUACUACAGGAGAAAAUGACUUUUUUUAGUAUUUUUUUAAAUUUCAUUGAAUUUGUCAUGCUUGUCUUACAUGGAGAAAUAAAUAUUUAAGUCUUUGAA